rnacentral:rRNA from 1 species
GAUGCUAAUACCGGAUAACAACAGAUGAUGCCUAUCAACUGUUUAAAAGAUGGUUCUGCUAUCACUCUUGGAUGGACCUGCGGUGCAUUAGCUAGUUGGUAGGGUAACGGCCUACCAAGGCGAUGAUGCAUAGCCGAGUUGAGAGACUGAUCGGCCACAUUGGGACUGAGACACGGCCCAAACUCCUACGGGAGGCAGCAGAA